rnacentral:rRNA from 1 species
UACGUAGGGUGCGAGCGUUGUCCGGAAUUAUUGGGCGUAAAGGGCUCGUAGGCGGACCGGUGUGUCUGGCGUGAAAUCUCCACUGCUUAACAGGGAGGGGCCGCUGGAAACUGCCGAUCUUGAGUAUGGUAGAGGACCAUGGAAUUUCGGGUGUAGCGGUGGAAUGCGUAGAUAUCCGAAAGAACACCGGUGGCGAAGGCGGUGGUCUGGACCAAAACUGACGCUGAGGAGCGAAAGCCAGGGGAGCAAACGGG